CUGGUGUCAGCCGCCGCGGUAAUACCAGCACCCCGAGUGGUCGGGACGUUUAUUGGGCCUAAAGCAUCCGUAGCCGGUUCUACAAGUCUUCCGUUAAAUCCACCUGCUUAACAGAUGGGCUGCGGAAGAUACUAUAGAGCUAGGAGGCGGGAGAGGCAAGCGGUACUCGAUGGGUAGGGGUAAAAUCCGUUGAUCCAUUGAAGACCACCAGUGGCGAAGGCGGCUUGCCAGAACGCGCUCGACGGUGAGGGAUGAAAGCUGGGGGAGCAAACCGGAUUAGAUACCCGGGUAGUCCCAGCUGUAAACGAUGCAGACUCGGUGAUGAGUUGGCUUAUUGCUAACUCAGUGCCGCAGGGAAGCCGUUAAGUUUGCCGCUUGGGGAGUACGGCCGCAAGACUGAAACUUAAAG
rnacentral:rRNA from 2 species